AUCUUAAAUCCAGAGUUGCGUAUGAGAUUGCUAGUGACCUCUGUCACAAAGAGUCUUUUGGGGGGAAACCUACCUAAGACAGUUUGUACCAGAAAUGAUCCUAGAAAUCAUAAACUAAAUGGUAUUUUGGAUUGUGUUACCUGAUGCCUGGCUGAAAAUGAAGACCAUAUCACUGGAGGCAAGAAUUCCUGCCUCUGAAGUCCAGGUGCUACUGAAGAGAAACAAGUCCCUCCAGCCACAACCUGCACCAAUGGAACAGCCAGGCAAUCACUUACCACUUUUGCUUUCCACCUUCUUGGGGACAUUGCCACUGUCUCUACUAAAAACUCUGUGCCUUGCAGGUUGCCCUGGGGAGUGGUCCCUUGGUCUCUUAAACUCCAGCACAAUAUUUUGCUCCAACCCUGUCUGCCUCCUUCAAGAAUACCCAAGCAAGGGGUUAAAAAUUGAAAGUAUCAGGAGCAUGCUACUCUGCAAUAUGGAUUAGAAAUGCUUCUCAUUGGUUAUCUAUCCUUUGCCUCCAGGCAGGACUACAAGUAAGCCAUGUAAGACAGAUGGGUUUCUAGCCCAGUCAAGAUUUCUAGGGAAGUCAUUUCCACAGCCUCUCAACAUUAAUCAAAAUAACCAGCCCCACAAUUGAGGAGAAUAGCAAAAUAUCCCAGGUAGGCAACAGUUUUUAAUAAAGUGUUAUCUGAUUCCACAUCUGACAAUGGUUCCUUUCCU